CCUACGGGAGGCAGCAGUGAGGAAUAUUGGUCAAUGGACGAGAGUCUGAACCAGCCAAGUAGCGUGAAGGAUGACUGCCCUAUGGGUUGUAAACUUCUUUUAUAUGGGAAUAAAAUGUUCCACGUGUGGGUUUUUGUAUGUACCAUAUGAAUAAGGAUCGGCUAACUCCGUGCCAGCAGCCGCGGUAAUACGGAGGAUCCGAGCGUUAUCCGGAUUUAUUGGGUUUAAAGGGAGCGUAGGUGGAUUGUUAAGUCAGUUGUGAAAGUUUGCGGCUCAACCAUAAAAUUGCAGUUGAAACUGGCAGUCUUGAGUACAGUAGAGGUGGGCGGAAUUCGUGGUGUAGCGGUGAAAUGCUUAGAUAUCACGAAGAACUCCGAUUGCGAAGGCAGCUCACUGGACUGCAACUGACACUGAGGCUCGAAAGUGUGGGUAUCAAACAGGAUUAGAUACCCGAGUAGUC
rnacentral:rRNA from 1 species